AACGAACGCUGGCGGCGUGGUUUAGGCAUGCAAGUCGAGCGCGAAAGUCCCUUCGGGGGCGAGUAGAGCGGCGAAAGGGUGAGUAAUGCUUGGGCAACUUACCCCUCGGAUCGGAAUAGCCACUGGAAACGGUGGGUAAUGCCGGAUGGUCUCGCGAGCACUGCGGUGGGCGCGAGUAAAGUGGGGGCCUUCGGGCCUCACACCGAGGGAGAGACCCGAGUCCUACCAGCUUGUUGGUGAGGUAACGGCUCACCAAGGCGAAGACGGGUAGCCGGACUGAGAGGUUGGCCGGCCACACUGGCACUGAGACGCUGGCCAGACUCCUACGGGAGGCUGCAGUCGAGAAUCUUCCGCAAUGGGCGCAAGCCUGACGGAGCGACGCCGCGUGGAGGAAGAAGGCCUUCGGGUUGUAAACUCCUGUCAGAGUUUAUGGAUGCAGGCGGGCUAAUAUCCCGUCCUGUUAACAAAGGACUCAAAGGAAGCCACAGCUAACUUCGUGCCAGCAGCUGCGGUAAUACGAAGGUGGCGAGCGUUGUUCGGAUUCACUGGGCAUAAAGGGCGCGUAGGCGGCUUUGUAAGCGGAGGGUGAAAGCCCGGGGCUCAACCCCGGAACGGCUCUCCGAACUGCAGAGCUAGAGGACGAGAGGGGGCUGUGGAACUCUAGGUGGAGCGGUGAAAUGCGUAGAUAUCUAGAGGAACACCGGUGGCGAAGGCGACAGCCUGGCUCGUUUCUGA
rnacentral:rRNA from 1 species